rnacentral:rRNA from 1 species
AGACCAAGGGUUCCUGUCCAACGUUAAUCGGGGCAGGGUGAGUCGACCCCUAAGGCGAGGCCGAAAGGCGUAGUCGAUGGGAAACGGGUUAAUAUUCCCGUACUUGGUGUUACUGCGAAGGGGGGACGGAGAAGGCUAUGUUGGCCGGGCGACGGUUGUCCCGGUUUAAGCGUGUAGGUGUGUGUUCCAGGUAAAUCCGGUUCACUUUAACACUGAGGCGUGACGACGAGGCACUACGGUGCUGAAGCAACAAAUGCCCUGCUUCCAGGAAAAGCCUCUAAGCAUCAGGUAACAUCAAAUCGUACCCCAAACCGACACAGGUGGUCAGGUAGAGAAUACCAAGGCGCUUGAGAGAACUCGGGUGAAGGAACUAGGCAAAAUGGUGCCGUAACUUCGGGAGAAGGCACGCUGACACGUAGGUGAAGUGAUUUACUCAUGGAGCUGAAGUCAGUCGAAGAUACCAGCUGGCUGCAACUGUUUAUUAAAAACACAGCACUGUGCAAACACGAAAGUGGACGUAUACGGUGUGACGCCUGCCCGGUGCCGGAAGGUUAAUUGAUGGGGUCAGCGCAAGCGAAGCUCCUGAUCGAAGCCCCGGUAAACGGCGGCCGUAACUAUAACGGUCCUAAGGUAGCGAAAUUCCUUGUCGGGUAAGUUCCGACCUGCACGAAUGGCGUAAUGAUGGCCAGGCUGUCUCCACCCGAGACUCAGUGAAAUUGAACUCGCUGUGAAGAUGCAGUGUACCCGCGGCAAGACGGAAAGACCCCGUGAACCUUUACUAUAGCUUGACACUGAACAUUGAGCCUUGAUGUGUAGGAUAGGUGGGAGGCUUUGAAGUGUGGACGCCAGUCUGCAUGGAGCCGACCUUGAAAUACCACCCUUUAAUGUUUGAUGUUCUAACGUGGACCCGUUACCCGGGUUGCGGACAGUGUCUGGUGGGUAGUUUGACUGGGGCGGUCUCCUCCUAAAGAGUAACGGAGGAGCACGAAGGUUGGCUAAUCCUGGUCGGACAUCAGGAGGUUAGUGCAAUGGCAUAAGCCAGCUUGACUGCGAGCGUGACGGCGCGAGCAGGUGCGAAAGCAGGUCAUAGUGAUCCGGUGGUUCUGAAUGGAAGGGCCAUCGCUCAACGGAUAAAAGGUACUCCGGGGAUAACAGGCUGAUACCGCCCAAGAGUUCAUAUCGACGGCGGUGUUUGGCACCUCGAUGUCGGCUCAUCACAUCCUGGGGCUGAAGUAGGUCCCAAGGGUAUGGCUGUUCGCCAUUUAAAGUGGUACGCGAGCUGGGUUUAGAACGUCGUGAGACAGUUCGGUCCCUAUCUGCCGUGGGCGCUGGAGAACUGAGGGGGGCUGCUCCUAGUACGAGAGGACCGGAGUGGACGCAUCACUGGUGUUCGGGUUGUCAUGCCAAUGGCACUGCCCGGUAGCUAAAUGCGGAAGAGAUAAGUGCUGAAAGCAUCUAAGCACGAAACUUGCCCCGAG